AGUCCACCUCAAUGCCGGUCAGCAAAUAUUUCAUGCUGAGCUGAGCAUAUCAAAUAACAAUGGACUUAUAUUAAAUGAGGUUUUAAUAUCCUAGUGCCUGAAGAUCACAUUCUCUUCUUGCUCUCUUGGAACUUAAAACUACAUUA
rnacentral:snoRNA from 1 species